rnacentral:rRNA from 1 species
UACGUAGGGACGAGCGUUGUCCGGAAUUACUGGGCGUAAAGGGCGCGCAGGCGGAUAUUUAAGUCAGCUGUUAAAGUCAUGGGCUCAACUCAUGGAUGCGGUUGAAACUGGGUAUCUAGAGUGCUGGAGAGGUAGGCGGAAUUCCCGGUGUAGCGGUGAAAUGCGUAGAUAUCGGGAAGAACACCAGUGGCGAAGGCGGCUUACUGGCCAGCAACUGACGCUGAGGCGCGAAAGCCAGGGGAGCGAACGGGAUUAGAUACCCCGGUAGU